rnacentral:rRNA from 1 species
AGCCUGAGACGUGAUGCGUAGCCGAUUGAGGCGAAUUCAGUGAUCCUAUGCUGCCGAGAAAAGCCUCUAGCGAGCUUUCACACGGCCCGUACCCCAAACCGACACAGGUGGUCAGGUAGAGAAUACUAAGGCGAUCGAGAUAACUAUGGUUAAGGAACUCGGCAAAAUGCCCCCGUAACUUCGGGAGAAGGGGGGCCCUGUCUGGUGACGACAUUUACUGUCUGAGCUGGGUGGGGCCGCAGAGACCAGUGAGAAGCGACUGUUUACUAAAAACACAGGUCCGUGCGAAGUCGUAAGACGAUGUAUACGGACUGACGCCUGCCCGGUGCUGGAAGGUUAAGAGGACCGGUUAGUUCCUUCGGGAGCGAAGCUGAGAAUUUAAGCCCCAGUAAACGGCGGUGGUAACUAUAACCAUCCUAAGGUAGCGAAAUUCCUUGUCGGGUAAGUUCCGACCUGCACGAAUGGCGUAACGACUUCUCAGCUGUCUCAACCGUAGACUCGGCGAAAUUGCAUUACGAGUAAAGAUGCUCGUUACGCGCGGCAGGACGAAAAGACCCCGGGACCUUCACUACAGCUUGGUAUUGGUGUUCGGUUCGGUUUGUGUAGGAUAGGUGGGAGACUGUGAAACGGUGACGCCAGUUAUCGUGGAGUCGUUGUUGAAAUACCACUCUGAUCGAAUUGGACCUCUAACCUCGGACCAUGAUCUGGUUCAGGGACAGUGCCUGGUGGGUAGUUUAACUGGGGCGGUUGCCUCCCAAAAUGUAACGGAGGCGCCCAAAGGUUCCCUCAGCCUGGUUGGCAAUCAGGUGUCGAGUGCAAGUGCACAAGGGAGCUUGACUGUGAGACUGACAGGUCGAGCAGGGACGAAAGUCGGGACUAGUGAUCCGGCACCGGCAAGUGGAAGCGGUGUCGCUCAACGGAUAAAAGGUACCCCGGGGAUAACAGGCUGAUCUUCCCCAAGAGUCCAUAUCGACGGGAUGGUUUGGCACCUCGAUGUCGGCUCGUCGCAUCCUGGGGCUGGAGUAGGUCCCAAGGGUUGGGCUGUUCGCCCAUUAAAGCGGCACGCGAGCUGGGUUUAGAACGUCGUGAGACAGUUCGGUCUCUAUCCGCCGCGCGCGUUAGAAACUUGAGGAAGGCUGUCCCUAGUACGAGAGGACCGGGACGGACGAACCUCUGGUGUGCCAGUUGUUCCGCCAGGAGCACCGCUGGUUAGCUACGUUCGGAAGGGAUAACCGCUGAAAGCAUCUAAGCGGGAAGCCUGUUCCAAGAUGAGGUUUCUCACCCCCUCGAGGGGGUAAGGCCCCCGGCAGACCACCGGGUUGAUAGGCCAGAACUGGAAGUGCAGUAAUGCAUGCAGGUGACUGGUACUAAUAGGCCGAGGACUUACCACAA